rnacentral:tRNA from 1 species
GCCGUGGUCCACUGGUUAGCACUCUGGACUUGUAACCAGAGGGUUGCCGGUUCGAACCCCGACCAGUAGGCA